CCCCCUGGGGCCCGCUCAGGGCCACUGGGCCACCCCCUCUCCCGCCACCCCCACCCUGCUCCGCGGCCGAGAAACAGAGAGGGAGAGACUCCGAAGAGAUAGAUCAAGCGUUGUUCCAGGUGGGGAACAUGAGCAGCCAGACCGAGCUGCUGUGCCUGGGGGCGGCCCUGCUGCUACUGCUGCUGCUGGGGAUGGCGGCCGGCCUGUGUGUGCGCUGCUCCCACUCAGAGCCCAAGAGGCUGGAGAAAAUCUACCAGCAGAGGAGUCUGCAAGAGACCGCGCAGAGCUUUGCCGUGGCCCGAACCUAUUCCUUGGUCAGGCCGGUAUGGGCCAGGCCCCCGGGGGACACCGGCCCUGACCAGGCGUCCACAAGGAAAGACAAGCUACUGGAGUUCUCGCCCAGCCUUGAGGAACCUGCAUCCCCCAGGUACCAGGACUCGAGCAAAGAGGGCAGAGCAGAGUCAGAGGCCGCAUCCCUACGCCCCAUUACCGCCGACUAUUGCAACUGGGGGCAGCUCCCGCGGCCCCAGGAAGAGGACGACGACGCCGGUUCCUACGAGAACGUGCUCAUCUGCAAGCAGAGGACGCCUGAGUCAGGCGAGGACUCAGAGGACUAUCAGAACUCUGCGUCCAUCCACCAGUGGCAGGAGUCCCGGAGGUUCAUGGAGCAAGCAGCGGCUCCCCUCCCGGUGGGGAGUCCCGACGAGGACAGCGGGGAACCCGACUACGUGAACCAGGACGCCGCGGCACCCAGAGCCUAGGCGAGCCCGGGAGGAAGGGCAGGAAUGCUGAGAUACGAUGCAGCACACUUGACUGAAGUUCAAUUUCUCUCCUAAAGCAAUGUUAGUAUUUCUUUGAAAGCUGCUGUUAAGAAAAUGCUAAGAAAGAAAAAAAAGGCAAGCAAGCCAGGCUGGAAGGAACUCUCUAACACAUAACUGAUGAAGGACUUGUAUCCAGCAUAUAUAAAGAGUUCUCAACAUUCAGUAACAGGAAGAGAACUCAAUUUAAAAACGGCUGGGUUAGGGCAGGCACGGCGGUGCACUGGGUUGGGCUGCUACGUCCCAUACCACAGUGCCUGGGUUCAGGGCCCAGCUCGGCUUCCAGUCCAGCUCCCUGCUCAUGGACACCCUGGGAGGCAGCAGAUGAUGGCUCAAGUGCUUGGGCCCCUGCCAUCCACGUGGGAGACCCGGAUGCAGUCCCAGGCUCCUGGCUUUGGCCUGGCCCAGCCCUGGCUGCUACAGCCACUUGGGGAGUGAACUCUGCCUUUCACAUAAAAUAAAUAAAACUAAAAACAAAAAAAAAACCAAAAAACCGUGGGCGACCAGGGACAGGCAAGUUACAGGCAGGAUGAGACACCAUUCCCCACCUCCGACGAGGGCUUGGAAAACCCAGCCGAGCCCUCCCCGAGCUGGCCGGGAGUGGAGCACCUCGAACGCUCACUGCGCCGGCAGGAUUGCAAAACGCGCCGACAGCCGCUUGGAAAAUCAGUUUGGCAAGUUCUCGCGAAGUUCAGUCUACACGUCCCAUUUGACUAAGCAACCUCACUGCUAGGAAUUCACCCAGCAGACCCGGAAAGUUCCGCUCACGCUUGAGCUGAUUCACGUACGCAAAUGUUCACGGUUGCGUUAUUCGCAGCCUCUCAAGUCUGGAGGCCCAACUGCCCUGGACCUGGUGAGCCGGUAAACUGCAAUGCACGCCCAGCAUGGAAUACUACUCAGCCAGGAAAAAAGACGGAGCCACUGCCCCUGGUGACCACCCGCACUGCCUAAGGGGCAUUAAGCUACGCGAGAGGAGACAGAACCUGCACAAUUCCAUUUCUCUGACAUUCUGGCAAAGUCUGUCCCCGGAUCGGAAACUGGAGCAGGCACACUUGGCACGACAGCUAGGCCACUGUGAAGCCCACGUCCCAUCUCUCAGUGCCUGGGUUCAAGUGCCAGCUCGGCUUCCGAUCCAGCUUCCUGCUGCCCUGCAACCUGGGAGCCCAAGUACUUGGACCCCUGCCACACGGGAGACCCAGGCUGAGCCCCUGGCUCCUGGUUUUGGCCUGGUCCAGCCCCGGCUGUGGUGUGCAUCUGAGGAGGGAGCCAGAUGGGAGAUGUGUGUGUGUGUGUGUCUCUCUGCCUUUCAAAUGAAACACAAUACUAAAUUAUA